rnacentral:rRNA from 1 species
UGGCGGCGUGCUUAACACAUGCAAGUCGAACGAUGAACCGGUUUCGGCCGGGGAUUAGUGGCGAACGGGUGAGUAACACGUGGGCAAUCUGCCCUGCACUCUGGGACAAGCCCUGGAAACGGGGUCUAAUACCGGAUACUGACCGACACGGGCAUCCGUGACGGUCGAAAGCUCCGGCGGUGCAGGAUGAGCCCGCGGCCUAUCAGCUUGUUGGUGAGGUAGUGGCUCACCAAGGCGACGACGGGUAGCCGGCCUGAGAGGGCGACCGGCCACACUGGGACUGAGACACGGCCCAGACUCCUACGGGAGGCAGCAGUGGGGAAUAUUGCACAAUGGGCGAAAGCCUGAUGCAGCGACGCCGCGUGAGGGAUGACGGCCUUCGGGUUGUAAACCUCUUUCAGCAGGGAAGAAGCGAAAGUGACGGUACCUGCAGAAGAAGCGCCGGCUAACUACGUGCCAGCAGCCGCGGUAAUACGUAGGGCGCAAGCGUUGUCCGGAAUUAUUGGGCGUAAAGAGCUCGUAGGCGGCUUGUCACGUCGGUUGUGAAAGCCCGGGGCUUAACCCCGGGUCUGCAGUCGAUACGGGCAGGCUAGAGUUCGGUAGGGGAGAUCGGAAUUCCUGGUGUAGCGGUGAAAUGCGCAGAUAUCAGGAGGAACACCGGUGGCGAAGGCGGAUCUCUGGGCCGAUACUGACGCUGAGGAGCGAAAGCGUGGGGAGCGAACAGGAUUAGAUACCCUGGUAGUCCACGCCGUAAACGGUGGGCACUAGGUGUGGGCAACAUUCCACGUUGUCCGUGCCGCAGCUAACGCA